GACGGAGGAUGCAAGUGUUAUCCGGAAUCACUGGGCGUAAAGCGUCUGUAGGUGGUCAAAUAAGUCAACUGUUAAAUCUUGAGGCUUAACCUCAAAAUCGCAGUCGAAACUAUUAGACUAGAGUAUAGUAGGGGUAAAGGGAAUUUCCAGUGGAGCGGUGAAAUGCGUAGAGAUUGGAAAGAACACCGAUGGCGAAGGCACUUUACUGGGCUAUUACUAACACUCAGAGACGAAAGCUAGGGUAGCAAACGGG
rnacentral:rRNA from 1 species